UACGUAGGGUGCAAGCGUUGUCCGGAAUUAUUGGGCGUAAAGAGCUCGUAGGCGGUCUGUCGCGUCUGCUGUGAAAACUCAGGGCUUAACCCUGAGCUUGCAGUGGGUACGGGCAGACUAGAGUGCGGUAGGGGAGACUGGAAUUCCUGGUGUAGCGGUGAAAUGCGCGGAUAUCAGGAGGAACACCGGUGGCGAAGGCGGUUCUCUGGGCAUUACCUGACGCUGAGGAGCGAAAGUGUGGGGAGCGAACAGG
rnacentral:rRNA from 1 species